rnacentral:ncRNA from 2 species
UCGGCAAUCACACUAUAGCCUUCCCGCCUACGUCUUCGGAUAGGGUGUGCUGGCCGCAGCCAUCGAGCUGCCAGGGUGCAGAAAGAAAUGCCUGCAUCUCCCGAAUUUGGAAAGGUGUACUGGUGCCACAAUU